AGCAGCAUGGCGCAGUUGGAAGCGCGCGGGGCCCAUAUAUGUUUUCAAGAGCUGUUAAACCCCGAGGUCACUUGAUCGAAACAAGUCGCUGCUA